CGGGGGGCAGCAGUGGGGAAUCUUGCGCAAUGGGCGAAAGCCUGACGCAGCAACGCCGCGUGCGGGAUGAAGGCCUUCGGGCUGUAAACCGCUUUCAGCAGGAACGAAAAUGACGGUACCUGCAGAAGAAGGAGCGGCCAACUACGUGCCAGCAGCCGCGGUGACACGUAGGCUCCAAGCGUUGUCCGGAUUUAUUGGGCGUAAAGAGCUCGUAGGCGGUUUAGUAAGUCGGGUGUUAAAACUCUGGGCUCAACCCGGAGAGGCCAUCCGAUACUGCUGUGACUUGAGUUCAGGAGGGGAGCGGGGAAUUCCUAGUGUAGCGGUGAAAUGCGCAGAUAUUAGGAGGAACACCGGUGGCGAAGGCGCCGCUCUGGACUGAAACUGACGCUGAGGAGCGAAAGCAUGGGUAGCAAACAGGAUUAGAUACCCGAGU
rnacentral:rRNA from 1 species